rnacentral:lncRNA from 1 species
AAUUAAUGAAAUAAACACUCUAUUAAUGAAAUCUUCCGAGGAACAUAUCAGCCGGGUUUCUCCUCCCUCCCCACCAUUUGCCCAUCAAGGAAAAAUGAGGCACCCCAACUUAGAUCAAACUCAUCAAGGAUUCCUCAGCUUUUUGCCAAUUAGUCGACUCAGAUUGGUGCUGGCAUAACUUCAAAAAGUGAGAGAGGUUUGGUAGGGGAAUAGGUGAUUUGGUAGCUGCAAGAAAUUUCAGAGGGGAAGGUGGGUGAGUUACCAGCUUGGACUGUGAAAUCAUUUUCUAUGGUGCCAUUGUAGAUUUGGAUUGAUAUUCGUUGAUUUUUUUGGCCACUGUGAUGCAAUCAUCGGCAUCUUUUAUUUGCUUCAAGUGAUCAGACUAAAAUUUAAGAUUUUAUAUUGUUAAAUAAUUGAUAUUUUUUCAUUUUCCUUUGGUUCCAGCAGUGACAAGUGCAGUCAUAUACCUUGAAGAGUCCAUCUGUUUGAGCCAUCUGCUUCAGCCAUAUUCUUAUUUCUCUGCUCUAACUGAGAUAUAUUAUGUUUAUAUAUGAAUGAUUUCCUGGAAAUAGUGUGGUUAUGUAUAAACUUUGAGGAUAUUAUAAAAUCUAUAUACCUAAUAAUUAAUUAUAUUUUGCAUUGAUGAAAUUAAUUUAUCGAUCAUUAUCUGAUUUGGUUUCAGAAGACGAGUAGUUUUUCUUGGUUUUUGUUGCAU